rnacentral:rRNA from 12 species
CUCCUACUCCCCUUCACAGAGAAAACGCGCAAGAAAAGGUGGGAGUUUUCCAGAACUGAGGAGGGCCGCCUGUUAAUUGUUGUAUCAAGAGGGCAAUAUUUUUUAAAAGUUCAAUUCAACCGAG